rnacentral:rRNA from 1 species
GAUGAACGCUAGCGGCAGGCUUAAUACAUGCAAGUCGAGGGGCAGCACAGAUAGCAAUAUUGGGUGGCGACCGGCCAACGGGUGCGGAACACGUACACAACCUUCCUUUUGGUGGGGGAUAGCCUUUGGAAACGGAGAUUAAUACCCCAUAAGAUAUUGGGACCGCAUGGUUUUGAUAUUAAAGAUUUAUUGCAAGAAGAGGGGUGUGCGUAUGAUUAGGUAGUUGGUGAGGUAAAGGCUCACCAAGCCGACGAUCAUUAACUGGUGUGAGAGCACGACCAGUCACACGGGCACUGAGACACGGCCCAGACUCCUACGGGAGACAGCAGUGGGGAAUAUUGGACAAUGGGCGGAAGCCUGAUCCAGCCAUGCCGCGUGUGUGAAGAAGGCCUUUUGGUUGUAAAGCACUUUAAGCGAGGAGGAGGCUCUUAAGGUUAAUACCCUUGAUGAGUGGACGUUACUCGCAGAAUAAGCACCGGCUAACUCUGUGCCAGCAGCCGCUGUAAAAC